GAGCCGAUAGCUCAGCUGGUAGAGCAACUGACUUUUAAUCAGUAGGUCCAGGGUUCGAACCCCUGUCGGCUCACCA
rnacentral:tRNA from 37 species